AGUUGCUAUUGUGAAUCAAUCCUGGAAUCUACAAUGACCAACAGCAGUAUGAAUACUCAAUUUCAGGAACAUCUUUAUCGGGUAAUUGCAGAGGACAACAUGAAGGCCUGUGCCAGGGUUUCAAAUAAAGGCGUGCAAAUGAAAUUUCAAGUAUGGCGUACUGAAAACAUUUGAGGCAAAAGAAAUUAUAGCUGAAAAUAUAAGCUUGGGAAAUAAUAAGACACUGGAGAAUUUCAAGAGUAUACCAAGAGAGCAUAACGAAAAAGCCUAGAGACUUUCAAAAAGGUAAAGACCAGCCCAUCCUAAAUGCCAACUCCUUCAGCAACAAUCUGAAACAGCAGAGACAAACUCCCAGCCUUAGAAUAACUUCACGUAGACUAAUCCAAAACUGUAAUCUAAACCACCCAUCCAUCCACAAGAAGCUGUGGAGAUAACUUCCAAUCAAAGAAUAAAUGCAUACAUUGUACAGGAAAUGCAAACUCAUUCGGACUGUAACAAAAUUAUGUGAACA
rnacentral:misc_RNA from 1 species